AGUACUAUUUACCAACCGCUGUCUCUGAAAAAUGUGGAGGAAUUGAAAGCACUUCACAUCAAAGAAAAGAAAAUGUAUGGCUUAGUUAAAGUUAUAAUUGCACGUGCUAUUUCUGGUGUCAUUGUCGAUUAUUGCUUAUGGAGAAUGAAAUCCCCAUUCUUUUUAUUUAAACAAAGCCCUCAAUGAUAGUUUUACCAAGAAGUUCAAUGGUUCUGUAACUGUCGAUGACUUUUACAAUUGGUCUGAAGAAAUCCUAUUACCCAACCUGUACAGCGCUUAUGAAGGAUUUAUAACAGAUGGGAAUUCAAAGCUGAUUGGUAGCCCUUGCAUUCGACAGCCUUUGGAGGAUGAAGAAAUAGUUGACUUACUACUGACAAAAUUAUGUGGCAUCAUUGGAGUUCAGAGGAAGAAAGUUCAGGUAAUGGAAUCUUUGCUCGAAGGAGAAAAGGCAAAUCAUCAAUAGGAAUCAACAAUGGAGAAAAUUUGUUGAUUGCUUGUUGGAUGCUGCAGAGGGAAGAUACAAUGAGAUUCAAAAAUUGAGGAGUGCAGAAUAUUUUGUAACCAAAAGAGAGUGCAUUUUUGAAUAAUGUCUUCAUUAGCCUUUUGGGUAAUUUUUACAAUUAAGCAUCUCAGAAUUUAUGUAAAGUUGAUAAAUUGCUAUAAAACUCUAUUUUGGCAUUUAGGAACAUGGAAACAGGAAGAAACUCAUUUAGCCUUUUAAAACCAAAAACAGAAUGUUGGAAUAACCCAGCAGGUCACGCUGCAUCAGUGGAGGUAAAAGGUGUAUGUCGACUUUAUGGGUCAAGACUGCCUGAUCUGCCGAGUUCUUCCAGCGUUCUGAUUUUGUUCCAGGUUCCAGCAUCUGCAGUUUCUUUUGCUGUCAUUUAACCUUUUGAGAUUAUUCUGCCACUCUGGGGUAGUGACUAAAUUUUACUUCAUUUCCAGUUUACAAUCUUUAGUCUGCAGUCCUUGAAGCCUUUACUUCUAAAACAAAAAUAAUCUAUUGACAUGAACAUUUCAGUUAAAACAGCUUUCACAGUCUUAUGGGACAGAGGGCCAGUUUUCUGCUCCCUUUCUUUCUCUGAAAAGUGCUUCAUGAUUUCAUUCUUAAAUUGCUCUAAUUUGACGAUAAUAUCUUUGCUCUGGAUUUAUUCAACAGUGGAAAUAGUGAUUCUGUAUAUAUCUCAUUGCAUCCUUUCAUUAUUUCAAAGAUUAGAUCUACCUUCAAACAAAAGUAUGAAAGCCAUUCAUUCUGAUCAAACUGCAAUGUCGCCCUCCUAUGGUCUUGUUCUAGAUUUAAGACAGUAGGAAGAUGAUUUCUACAAACACUCCCAUUAAACUUUGACAACUGAAGUACCACUUAUAACUUCUGGUACUCUAACUUCCUGGGGCAAAGACCAAACUUUACAUGCCUGUGAGGUGUUUUUAGCUUGCUGGACACUUCAAGCAUUUUCUCCUCCAUGGUUUCUAAUUUCUCGCCAUUAAAAUAUAUUUCAAUUUUAAUAUUUUUAAUCCUAUCUGAAAAGUAGAUUUUGCAUUUAGUUUUGCUCCAGAUCUAACUCAUUGUCAAUCAUAAUGUUACUAUCCUGCCAUGGAAAGCUCAAUACAAAUUUAAGAUUAGAAAGAUAAAUUAAGACUUUGCAAUAACCUGAAAGGCCAUUCAACUUCUAUUCCUGUGUUGCUGUUUUAUGAUGUUAACCACAUGUACCAACUUUGUCCCGUAUUCCUUUACAUCUUUGGUAAUAAAAAUCUAUCAAUCUUAGAUUUAAAGUUAACAAUUGAUAGAACAUCAGUUACCAUUUGCAGAAAAUAUUUCUACUUGCAAAGCAUCAUAGAAAGUUGGAACCACUUCCAAACUUUAAUCUUGAAUGACCUGGUUCUGAUUGCCCACCCCACUCUUCUGGUUCAAGGUUCAACCAGCAAAAGUAGAUCCUAACAAUCUCUUUCGAUCUCUCCUCAUUUUCUAGGACUCUAUAAUUUAACCCUUGGGGUUUUGCUUUCAUUCUGGUAGAACUAUACUGCACUCCCUCGUAAGUCGAUACAUCCUUCCCAAAAUGUAUUGCUCAGAAUUUGCACAUAUUACAAUGUACCUAGUUUCACAAAAAUGAAACAAUGCCAAAAAUUGCAUAAGGACAAAAUUAAUACUUGGAGUUGAAGACCCAUAUAAAAUGUGAGUCACUUAAUAACAUGAUGUAGUUGUUUCCAUGAAUGUUAUUUAGUGCCUUUUUCGGACUGUAAACUAAUCCAAGGUUUUAAGGAAACUUGCUCGGUUAUGUUAGAAAUAUCAAUGAGUGGAAAAUAUUUCACUUAGUCACGAUUAAUUUCAGUCACAAAUCUCAUUAAAAAGAUACAAAAUAAUACAAUGCCAAAUCAAUUGAUGUAAUCAGUUCCAUCUGUCGCAAAACUACAGCAACUUUUGUCACUUGCACUGUACUUAAUCUAAAAACAAUCAAUUUAAUCUUAAAUAAACUCAUGAUUAACAAUC